rnacentral:lncRNA from 1 species
UUUCUUCUAAUUUAAAAUUUUGGACCACGCUUGCACCACUUGUUUUGUUUUGCAAUGUUUUGGAAAUUCUUUUUCAAAAUCUUUUGCAAAUAGUCAAAGGUAUAUGAAUAAGAUUUUGAGAAGCAUUUUCAAGAUUUGAAAUUUUCUCCUCCUAUUUCAAAUGCUUUUCCUUUGACUAAACAAAACUCCCCCUUAAUGAAAUCCUCCUCUUAGUGUUCAAGAGGGUUUUAGAUAUUAAUUUUGAAGAUGGUGUACCAAUUCGAAAUUAUAUCAAAAAUAAGAUACUAAUUUCAAAAUCUUUUCUUAACUCAAAUUUGAAAGACUACAAUUUGAAAUUGGUGGUGGUGCGGUCCUUUUGCUUUGGGCUCAUACUUUCUCCCCCUUUGGCAUGAAUCGCCAAAAACGGAUACUUGUGAGUGAAAUAUAAGCCCUUAUAAUUACUUUCUCCCCUUAUGGUAAAAAAUAUAUGAGUGAAGAUUAUACCAAAUUGGAGAGCGGUGUGGAGCGACGGCGAAGGAUGAUUAAUUCGAUGGAGUGGAGUGGAAGCCUUGUCUUCGCCGAAGACUCUGAUUCCCUUUCAAUCUAUGACUUAGCAUGAAAUGCACUUGAAGAAUACAUUAGUCAUAGCAAAUGAAAGAGAGAUGAUCAAAGGUAUAUACAUGAGCUAUGUGUGCAAAACAUCAAUCAAAAUUCCUAGAAUCAAGAAUAUUUAGCUCAUGCCUAAGUUUGGUAAAAGUUUUCUCAUCUAGUGGCUUGGUAAAGAUAUCGGCUAAUUGUUCUUUGGUGUUAAUAUAUGCAAUCUCGAUAUCCCCCUUUUGUUGGUGAUCCCUCAAAAAGUGAUACCGAAUGGCUAUGUGUUUAGUGCGGCUAUGCUCAACGGGAUUAUCCGCCAUGCGGAUUGCACUCUCAUUAUCACAUAGAAGAGGAACUUUGGUUAAUUUGUAACCAUAGUCCCUGAGGGUUUGCCUCAUCCAAAGCAAUUGCGCGCAACAAUGGCCUGCGGCAAUAUACUCGGCUUCGGCGGUAGAAAGAGCUACAAAAUUUUGCUUCUUUGAAGCCCAGGACACCAGAGAUCUUCCCAAGAACUGGCAAGUCCCUGAUGUGCUCUUUCUAUCAAUCUUACACCCUGCCCAAUCAGCAUUGGAAUAUCCAAUUAAAUCAAAAGUGGAUCCCCUGGGGUACCAAAGGCCAAACUUAGGAGUAUAAACUAAAUAUCUCAAGAUUCGUUUCACGGCCCUAAGGUGAACUUCCUUAGGAUCGGCUUGGAAUCUUGCACACAUGCACACGGAAAGCAUAAUAUUCGGUCUAGAUGCACAUAGAUAGAGUAAAGAACCUAUCAUCGACCGGUAUACCUUUUGAUCUAUGGAUUUACCUCCCGUGUCGAGGUCGAGUUGCCCAUUAGUUCCCAUGGGUGUCUUGAUGGGCUUGGCAUCCUUCAUCCCAAACUUGGUGAGUAUGUCUUGAAUGUACUUCGUUUGGCUAAUGAAGGUGCCCUCUUGGAGUUGCUUUACUUGAAAUCCUAGAAAAUACUUCAACUCCCCCAUCAUAGACAUCUCGAAUUUUUGAAUCAUGAUCCUACUAAAUUCUUCACAAGUGGAUUUGUUAGUAGACCCAAAUAUGAUAUCAUCAACAUAAAUUUGGCAUACAAACAAAUCUUUUGCAAUAGUUUUAGUGAAUAGAGUAGGAUCGGCUUUUCUGACUUUGAAGUCAUUAGAAAUAAGAAAAUCUCUUAGGCAUUCAUACCAUGCUCUUGGGGCUUGCUUGAGCCCAUAAAGCGCCUUAGAGAGUUUGUAGACGUGAUUAGGGUACUCACUAUCUUCAAAGCCGGGAGGUUGCUCAACAUAGACCUCUUCCUUGAUUGGUCCAUUGAGGAAGGCACUCUUCACGUCCAUUCGAUAAAGCUUGAAGCCAUGGUAAGUAGCAUAGGCAAGUAAAAUGUGAAUUGACUCAAGCCCAGCUACGGGUGCAUAGGUUUCACCGAAAUCCAAACCUUCCACUUGUGAAUUCCACAAGUCGGGCUUUGUUCCUUGUCACCACACCAUGCUCAUCUUGCUUGUUGCGGAAGACCCACUAGGUUCCUACAACAUUUUGGUUAGGACGUGGAACUAAAUACCAUACCUCAUUCCUCAUGAAGUUGUUGAGUUCCUCUUGCAUUGCCAACACCCAAUCCGAAUCCCUUAAUGCAUCUUCUACCCUGUAUGGCUCAAUAGAAGACACAAAGGAGUAAUGUUCACAAAAUGAGCAACACGAGAUCGAGUAGUUACCCCCUUAUGUAUAUCGCCGAGGAUGGUGUUCACGGGGUGAUCUCGUUGGAUUGCUUGGUGGACUCUUGGGUGUGGCGGUCUUGGACUCUCAUCAUCUUCCUUGUCUUGACCAUGGGCAUCUCCCCCUUGAUCAUUUCCCUCCUCUUGAGGUGGCUCAUCUUCUUGAUCCUCAUCUUCAUCAACUUGAGCUUGAUCCUCAUCUUGGGUUGGUGGAGAUGCUUGCAUGGAGGAAGAUGGUUGAUCUUGUGCUUGUGGAGGCUCUUCGGAUUCCUUAGGACACACAUCCCCAAUGGACAUGUUCCUUAGCACGACACACGAAGCCUCUUCAUCAUCUAGCUCAUCAAGAUCAACUUGCUCUACUUGAGAGCCAUUAGUCUCAUCAAACACAAUGUCACAAGAAACUUCAACUAGUCCAGUGGACUUGUUAAAGACUCUAUAUGCCCUUGUGUUUGAAUCAUAACCAAGUAAAAAGCCUUCUAUAGCCUUAGGAGCAAAUUUAGAUUUUCUACCUCUUUUAACAAGCAUAAAGCAUUUGCUACCAAAGACUCUAAAGUAUGAAACAUUGGGCUUUUUACCGGUGAGGAGUUCGUAUGAUGUCUUCUUGAGGAUUCGGUGUAGAUAUAACCGGUUGAUGGCGUAGCUCGCGGUGUUGACGGCCUCGGCCCAAAACCGAUUCGAAGUCUUGUACUCAUCAAGCAUGGUCCUUGCCAUGUCCAAUAGAGUUCUAUUCUUCCUCUCCACUACACCAUUUUGUUGUGGCAUGUAGGGAGAAGAGAACUCAUGCUUGAUGCCCUCCUCCUCAAGGAAGCCUUCAAUUUGAGAGUUCUUGAACUCCGUCCCGUAGUUGCUUCUAAUCUUUUUGAUCCUUAAGCCGAACUCAUUUUGAGCCCGUCUCAAGAAUCCCUUUAGUGUCUCUUGGGUUUGAGAUUUUUCCUGCAAAAAGAACACCCAAGUGAAGCGAGAAUAAUCAUAUACAAUUACAAGACAGUACUUACUCCCGCCGAUGCUUAUGUAAGCUAUCGGGCCGAAUAGGUCCAUGUGGAGUAGCUCAAGCGGCCUAUCGGUCGUCAUGAUGUUCUUGUGUGGAUGAUGAACACCAACUUGCUUUCCUGCUUUACAUGCGCUACAAAUCCUGUCUUUCUCAGAAUGAACAUUGGUUAGUCCCAAAAUGUGCUCUCCCUUUAGAAGCUUAUGAAGAUUCUUCAUCCCAACAUGGGCUAGUCGGCGGUGCCAGAGCCAACCCAUGUUAGUCUUAGCAAUUAAGCAAGUGUCGAGUUCAGCUCUAUCAAAAUCUACUAAGUAUACCUGACCCUCUAACACUCCCUUAAAUGCUACUGAAUCAUCACUUCUUCUAAAGACAGUAACACCUAAAUCUGUAAAAAGACAGUUGUAGACCAUUUUGCAUAAUUGAGAAACAGAAAGCAAAUUGCAAUCUAAAGAAUCUAUAAGAAAAACAUUGGAAAUAGAAUGGUCAGGAGAUAUAGAAAUUUUACCCAAUCCUUUGACCAAAUCUUGAUUUCCAUCCCCGAAUGUGAUAGCUCUUUGGAUAUCUUGGUUUUUCUCAUAGGAGGAGAACAUCUUCUUCUCCCCUGUCAUGUGGUUUGUGCCCCGCUAUCGAUGAUCCAACUUGAGCCCCCGGAUGCAUAAACCUACAAAACAAGUUUAGGCCUUGUUCUUAGGUACCCAAACGGUCUUGGGUCCUUUGACAUUAGAAACAAGCACCUUGGGUACCCAAACACAAGUCUUUGACCCCUUGUGUUUGCCCCCAACAUAUUUGGCAACUAUUUUGCCUGAUUUGUUAGUAAGCACAUAGGAUGCAUCAAAAGUCUUAAAUGAAAUGUUAUGUUCAUUUGAUGCAAUAGGAGUUUUCUUCUUAGGCAAUUUAGCACGGGUUGAUUGCCUAGAACUAGAUGCCUCACUCUUAUAAAUAAAAGCAUGAUGAGAGCCAGAGUGAGACUACCUAUAAUGAAUUCUCCUAAUUUUAUGCUCGGGAUAGCCGACAGGGUAUAAAAUGUAACCCUCGUUAACCUGAGGCAUGGGAGCCUUGCCCUUAACAAAGUUAAAUAAUCUUUUAGGAGGGGCAUUAAGCUUGACAUUGUCUCCCUUUCGGAAGCCAAUGCCAUCCUUAAUGCCCGGGCGUCUCCCACUAUAGAGCAUGCUUCUAGCAAAUUUAAAUUUUUCAUUUUCUAAGUUAUGCUCAUUAAUCUUAGCACUAAGUUGAGCUAUGUGAUCAUUUUGUUUCUUAAUUAAAGCUAAGUGAUCAUGAAUAGCAUCAACAUUAAUAUCUCUACAUCUAGUGCAAAUGGAAACAUGCUCAACGGUAGAUGUAGAGGGUUUGCAAGUAUUCAAUUCAACAAUCUUAGCAUGUAAAAUUGCAUUUUCUUCUCUAAGAUUGGAAAUGGAAACAUUGCAACCAUUUAAAUCUUUAGCUUUAGCAAUUAAUUUUUCAUUCUCAAUUUUAAGGCUAGAGAGUGAUGCAUUUAACUUGUCAAUGUUGGUAAUUAAACUAGCAUUAUCAUUUCUAAGACUAACAAGAGAAUCAUGAGAAACAUUUGAGUUCUCAACCUUAGCAAUUAAUCUAGUAUUCUCAUUUCUAAGGUUGGAAAUAACAUCAUGGCAAGUACUUAGCUCACUAGAUAAUUUUUCACAUUUUUCUACCUCUAGAGCAUAAGCAUUUUUAACCUUAACAUGCUUUUUGUUUUCUUUAAUUAGGAAGUCCUCUUGGGUGUCCAAGAGUUCAUCCUUCUUAUGAAUAACACUAAUUAACUCAUAUAAUUUCUCCUUUUGUUGCAUGUUAAGAUUGGCAAAAAGAGUAAGCAUGUUUUCCUCAUCAUCACUAGAAUUAUCCUCAUCACUAGAAGUUGCAUACUUAGUGGAGGAUCUUGAUUUUACCUUCUUCUUCUUGCCGUCCUUUGCCAUGAGGCACUUGUGGCCGACGUUGGGGAAGAGAAGGCCCUUGGUGACGGUGAUGUUUGCGGCGUCCUCGUCGGAGGAGUCGGUGGAGCUCUCGUCGGAGUCCCACUCCCGGCAAACAUGGGCAUCGCCGCCCUUCUUCUUGUAGUAUCUCUUCUUUUCUCUUCUCUUUCCCUUCUUGCCGUCGCCCCUGUCACUAUCACUAGAUAAUGGACAUUUAGCAAUGAAAUGACCGGGCUUACCACACUUGUAGCACACCUUCUUGGAACGGGGCUUGUAAUCUCUCCCCUUCCUUUGCUUGAGGAUUUGGCGAAAGCUCUUGAUGAUGAGCGCCAUUUCCUCGUUGUCGAGCUUGGAGGCGUCGAUGGGAAGUCUACUUGAUGUAGACUCUUCCUUCUUCUCCUCUGUCGCUAAUUUGAAGGCGACGGGUUGCACCUCGGGUGUUGAGGUGGUGCCUUGCUCGAUGAUCUUCUUGGAGCCUUUGAUCAUCAAUUCAAAGCUCACAAAUUUUUCUAUAACUUCCUCGGGAGACAUUAGUUUAUACCUUGGAUCACCACGAAUUAAUUGAACUUGAGUAGGGUUAAGAAAUACGAGUGAUCUAAGAAUAACCUUGGCCAUCUCAUGGUCAUCCCAUUUUGUGCUCCCGAGGUUGCGCACUUGAUUCACCAAGGUCUUUAGCCGGUUGUACAUGGCUUGAGGGUCCUCGCCUUGGUUGAGCAUGAACCGAUCGAGCUCCCCCUCGAUCGUUUCCCGCUUGGUGAUUUUGGUCACCUCAUCUCCUUCGUGCGUGGUCUUGAGUACGUCCCAAAUCUCUUUGGCGCUCUUCAACCCUUGCACUUUAUUAUACUCUUCUCGAUUUAGAGAGGUGAGGAGUAUAGUAGUUGCUUGAGAGUUGAAGUGCUCGAUUUGGGCCACCUCGUCCCCAUCGUAAUCUUCAUCCCCUACGGAUGGUACCUGCGCUCCAAACUCAACAACAUCCCAUAUACUUUUGUGGAGUGAGGUUAGGUGAUAUCUCAUCAUAUCACUCCACCUAGAAUAAUCUUCACCGUCAAACGUCGGUGGUUUGCCUAAUGGGACGGAAAGUAAUGGAGUAUGUCUAGGAAUGCGAGAGUAGUGUAGGGGAAUCUUACUAUACUUCUUGCGCUCUUGGUGCUUAGAAGUGACGGACACGGCUUCGGAUCUCGAUGUAGAGGGCGAUGAAGAGUCGGUCUCGUAGUAGACCACUUUCUUCAUUUUCUUCUUCUUGUCGCCACUCUUGUGCGUCCUAAUGCGUGAAGGGGAUCCCUCCUUCUUUUUGUUGCCGGACUCCCUUGAUGGAGCCUUCCCGUGGCUUGUGGCGGGCUUCAUGCCGGUCACCAUCUCCUUCUUGGCGUGAUCUCCUGACAUCACUUCGAGCGAUUAAGCUCUAAUGAAGUACCGGGAUCUGAUACCAAUUGAAAGUUGCCUAGAGGGGGGGGGGGUGAAUAGGGCGAAUCUGAAAUUUACAAACUUUAAGCACAACUACAAGCCGGGGUUAGCUUUAGAAAUAUAAACGAGUCCGAAAGAGAGGGCGAAAAACAAAUCACAAGCAAAUAAGGCGGAUGACACGGUGAUUUGUUUUACCGAGGUUCAGUUCUUGCAAACCUACUCCCCGUUGAGGUGGUCACAAAGCCCGGGUCUCUUUCAACCCUUUCCCUCUCUCAAACGGUCACUUAGACCGAGUGAGCUUCUCUUCUCAAUCAAACGGGACACUAAGUCCCCACAAGGACCACCACACAAUUGGUGUCUCUUGCCUUGGUUACAAUUGAGUUGGAAUCAAGAAAGAAUGAAGAAGAAAAGCAAUCCAAGCGUAAGAGCUCAAAUGAACACAAGUCUCUCUCUCACUAGUCACUAUUUGAUUGGAAUGAUCUUUAGACUUGCGAGAGGAUUUGAUCUCUUUGAUUGUGUCUUGUAUUGAAUGCUAUAGCUCUUGUAAGGUGUUUGAAGGCUAAAAACUUGGAUGCAAUGAAUGGUGGGUGGUUGGGGGUAUUUAUAGCCCCAACCACCAAAAGAGCCGUUGGUGGAGGUUGCUGUCGCAUGGCGCACCGGACAGUCCGGUGCGCCACCGGACACUGUCCGGUGCGCCAGCCACGUCACUCGGCCGUUGGAUUCUAACCAUUGGAGCUUCUGACAUCUGGGCCACCGGACAGUCCGGUGGUGCACCAGACAGUCCCCGUUCACUGUCCGGUGCGCCUUCUGGCGCUGCUCUGACUUCUGCGCGCACUGUAGCGCAUUAACUGCUCGUUGCAGACGACCGUUGGCGUUGUGUAGUCGUUACUCCGCUGGCACACCGGACAGUCCGGUGAAUUAUAGCUGAGUGGCUCCCAGAAUUCUCGAAGGUGGCAAGUUCAGAGGUUGGUUCCCUGGUGCACCGGACAUUGUCCGGUGGCACACCGGACAGUCUGGUGCGCCAGACCAGGGCACACUUCGGUUGUCUUUUGCUCUUUUUAUUUGAACCCUUUCUUAGUCUUUUUAUUGGUUUGUUGUGAACCUUUAGCACCUGUAAAACUUAUAAUCUAGAGCAAACUAGUUAGUCUAAUUAAUUUGUGUUGGGCAAUUCGACCACCAAAAUUCAUAUAGGAAAAGGUGUAAGCCUAUUUCCCUUUCAAAUAUCCAGCCAUUCCAAUAAAGCUCUUGAUUCCUCUAGCAUCUGUUGGCGCUUUCCAAUUCAGAAUGUCUGCCACUUUCUUCGGAUUCACAGCCAAUCCAUCUUUGUUAAUUAUGUGACCCAAGAACAUGACUUCAUUGAUCCAGAACUCGCACUUACUCAACUUUACAUACAACUGGUGCUCUUGCAAUCUCUGCAAUACCGUCUUCAAAUGAUUCAUAUGAUCUUCUUCACUUUGAGAAUAUAUAAGAAUAUCAUCAAUAAAUACCACCACAAACUUGUCAAGAUAAUCCAUGAAUACAUUGUUCAUCAAAUUCAUGAAGAAGGCUGGUGCAUUCGUUAGGCCAAAAGACAUAACUGUGAACUCAUACAACCCAUACUUGGUAAUGAAUGCCGUUUUCGGAAUGUCUGAAGGUCGAAUCCUGAGCUGGUGAUAACCUGACCUCAGAUCUAUCUUUGAAAACACGCUGGCUCCUCUCAACUGGUCGAACAGAUCUUCUAUUCUGGGCAAGGGGUACUUGUUCUUGAUCGUGACUUCAUUCAGAGCUCGAUAAUCGAUACACAUCCUUCUGGUGCCAUCUUUCUUCUCCACGAACAGGACAGGGGCAGCCCAAGGCGAGGUGCUUGGCCGGAUGUAACCUUUCUCUGACAGCUCAUUGAUUUGCUUCUUGAGUUCAACCAACUCUAGUCCAGACACUCUGUAGGCUCUUUUAGAAAUGGGGGCGGUGCCAGGAAGAAGCUAUAUAGCAAACUCAACUUUCCGCUCAGGUGGCAUGCCUGGUAAGUCUUCCGGGAACACAUCUGGAAAUUCUGACACAACAUUGAUAAUCUCGAGUGAAUCUGGCUCCUUGCUAUCAAUAGCCAUCUGAUGACAACUUCCUUUCCUUGGCUCAGGGUGAGAUUAACUCGGCUACCACUUCUUAUCUUAGUGGGGACAACACAACUGAUAAUUGCUUGAUACUUAUCUAGCCAAUUCAUCCCUAGGAUGACAUCUAUUCCUUGAGUACCCAUUACUAUGAGAUUAGCGGGAAACGCUAUCCCCCUUAUUUCCACACUUACAUUCAAGCAAAUGCUAUCGGCUCAAAUUCUACCACCGACUGAGUCAAUUUGGAUGGGGGUUGACAUGGUAGUGAUUGGAAGUUUAUGUGCUUCUACCCAAGAUGCAGUAAUAAAUGAAUGUGUUGCUCCAGUAUCAAAUAACACUUCUACAAUAUGGGAGUCGACUGAAAACAUACCUACUGUCAUGCCGGGGGUUUCCUGAACUGCUUUAGCCUCCAAGUGAUUCAGUCUCCCAUGGUUAUAGCGUGGCUGAGAGCAGUUGCCUGCUCCAGGCUGAGACACAUUCUGCUUUGCUGGUGCACUAGGGCCUGACUGCUGCUGGGCUGUCUUCUUCAGACAUUGCAUCACCCAAUGGCCUUGCUCUCCACAAUGGAAACAUGCUCUGUUUCCACCCUGAACUGGUGCUGCCUGAUUGCUCUGGUUGGUUGCUGGGGCGGGAAGACGAGGUGCCUGCUGAUUCUGCUUCUGAAACUGACCUCCUCCUGACUGGUUGUUCUGGCGAUUCUGCUGCUGAUGCUGAGGGUACUGCCUUUGAAACUGCUGCUACUGAGCUGGGCGCUGGUUCUGUCUGAACUGCUAAGGUGGGUUGCCUGAGAAACGAGGGCGAUUGCUGCUUCCAGGCUGGGGUCCACUGAUCUUACGCUUGCGAUCCUCCUUCUCUUUGCGCUUCCUCUCUGUCAUGAUCGCUCUGUCGAUUAGGUGCUGAAAUGUGGGGAAGGUAUGAUUCAUCAGAUGAUACUGCAGAGGAUCAACCAAGCCUCUCAAGAAAUGAUACUACCUCUUGGCAUCUGUGUUGACAUCCUCAGGAGCAUAGCGGGACAGCUGCAGAAACUUGUCUCGGUACUCACUGAUGGAUAUAGGCCCUUGCUUCAGCGCCAGGAACUCCACCUUCUUCACUGUCAUCAGGCCUGCGGGGACAUGGUACUAGCGGAAAUUGUCUCUGAAUUCCUCCCAGGUAAUAGUGUUGGGGUUGGCAUGGGUGGCGAGAUAGGACUCCCACCAAGACUAGGCUGCUCCUCUCAACAGACGGGGACCAUACAGAACUUUCUCCCUGUCGUCGCACUGAGCGGUGUGCAACUCUCGCUCCACAGUGCGUAGCCAAUCUUCAGCAUCCAUGGGGUCAGAAGAGUGAGCGAAUACUGGGGGAUGACCUCUCAUGAAUUCAACAUGCUUGUCUCUAGGCAUCUGAGGCAUCUGAGGCUGAGGUGGUGGCUGCUGCUGUUGCUGUUGAAUGGCGGCCAGAGAGUGACCGAUGGCUUGAACUGCCUGAGUCUGCAUUAGGAACAUCUGCUCGAUGGUCAUCGGGGGUGGCAAUUGCUGACGGGUGCCUCAUCCUGCGGGGCUGCCUGCUCCUGCUGAGCACGCCUUCCUCCUCUGCGCCUGUUUUCUGACAUCUGCAGAAUGCAAUCAUACAUCAGAAUUGAUCUUGCAACUUGCAGCAUAAGAAAAGAGUGUAGAAUCCUAUCACCAUACUGAACAGAUGAGCAUCUUCAUUGACUUCUAACACAGGCAAACAUAGCUUCUUAGAUAAAGAGGAAAGUAGAACCAAAGGGUUUCCCAACUAGGUAACUAAUUUUAUUAACAUUCAACAGGUAAACCAAAGUGCAGGGGAUGCCUACACCCUGGCGACAGUCAUUACAAAGAUCCAAAUCCAACAUAGUUCAUCGUGACAAACAUAAAGGCACAGGAUAAGCAAACUACCCUGUCUAACUAAGACUAACUAAGAGUAAGACUGGUGCUAAGACUAUAGCUUCUAUGUAUAUAUUUUCAUAUUAAUUACAAGAUCUGACGCUGACGAUCUAUGGUUCUAAAUUUAUCUUGGUCCUGCAGUUGGGGUUGCCAUAAGUCUGGUGUCCACGCCGAGGUGAGCGGUACGGGUGCUGAGUCUCGAUGGGAGUGGGGGAGCCAUCCUCUAGGUGACUAUGCUCCGCACGCUCAGCCCGCAACUGGGCGAUCUCAGCACGAGCCCUACUCAGCUCGUCUAAUGCAUGGUCCAGCUCCGUGUUUAGCACGAUGGCUAGGUUGACUGUGCUACUCAACCUAGGAUUGUCCUCACCAACAGGUGAGACAACCACGCCUCCUGUGCUGCUAGAUGGGCGGCGUGGGUAAUACUUCAGGUUGAGACCAUCGGCUACCCCGCCGAGCACUGAGCAGUAGUGCAAAAGCGCACGUUGUGCGGCAUCCUGCAUGGCCGCCUUAGCUGAGUCCCGCUCAGAGAUGGAAUAGUGCUCUGAGCAGACCUCUGCACCCCGAAGACUGUUCUCUGGACGGCGCACCAAGCAGGUCGCCUCCCAACGGUUCGGGUAAAUCCCGCGACUAUGCUAAAAGACAACACAGCGAUACUCGAUAGACCAAGUGCGUCGGUCGAGUGCCUGACGUAGUAAGGUGUCGAGCGCAUCGUGGAAGUGACACCCGCGAGCAGCGUCGUGAGUGAUGUGUGGCGUAACUGCCUGAAUUAUUCCAACUUAAGUGCUUAAGCCCCGCCUUAGAGGCUAGACCACACUUAAAUGGGAAUAACCCGUCAAUCCCUCGGAUCUAGUCCGAUAAAGCCACUUAACCAGGAUCGAAUACCACUAGCUCACACGAAGGUGAGGCACAGAGAAAUACAAUAAAACAUAAUACCACAAUUUAAUAAGUAUCAUUAGUGAUUACAUUAUCGGAGUUUCAGCAAUAAUAACCAUGAAUUUUAAUGCAGCGGAAAUAACUAACGGAGAAAACCGAGUAACAUGGCGAAGCCUGGCCAUGCUACUCCUCCUGGUCCUCUCCUGCGGAAGCAGUAACCCACUUGACCAUCUAUCCCGGUGGCAGGGAUGGAGGCCAAGUCACACCAGCAACAAAUCAUCCUAAGAAGUACCUGCAAAAAUUGUGCCACAAGCAAGGCUGAGUAUACUAAUACUCAGCUAGACUUACCCGGUGUGAGGAGUCUACUCCUCUACCUCUAGACAUGCAGCUGUUUGGCUGAGGAGUUUGCUUUGCCAAAAGCACUAGCUGAGUCUAAAAUCAUGUUUUAGCUUUUUCAAGUUUUAGUAUGAUCCUUUUGACUAGAUGUGUACCUAGCUAAUCAUACAUGGUAUCAAACAUUUUUAUCAACCAACAUCUUUUGCCAGUCACCACAUUUCCACUUAUUACUCAAUGUAGCAGCAUGGAUCAAGCAGUCUCAUUAGCUGCGAGAAGCAGACGAUUCGAAUCGAGUUUUUAAACCUUGCAAGGUAAACCUAAACACACGACAUGUAGGGGCACUCCGUCCCCACACACAUCAACCGUCCCCAUCGAUUCCCUGGCAACAGAUCAGGGCUCACCGCCUUGGCGUACAAUGCCCCACUGACCCCGACUGGCCGUCGUGCAGUGGCCGCACUUGUACCCACCAUAACCGGAAUGGGAGACCUCGUCUCAGGUCGCGUGAGGGGCAAAGUCUGCGGGCAGGUUCACUCAGGUACUAGGCUUACCGAUUUACCAUAUUUCUCGGUAUGUGUUUAGUACGUUCAAACGCUUGACUCACGGUACCACACCUUAAUCCUUAUUCCAAUUUCCGUCUCGUAGACAACGCAUCCCCAUGGACCGUUGUCCACAGACCACCAUCAGUAUGAUAUCAAAAUGGAUACAACCAAUUCUGACCUCGCGCGAGUGCUAGAAAAAUCACUCGACUUCUACCGAGAUCCUUAAUUAGUAAAGCAGCUACUCGACCUAGCAUACUAGUAUCCAUCUCAAAAGGGAAUCCUGAGUUCAUGCAACUAGGGUUUCAGGCAACUCCUACACUUAAGUGCACAGUACAGCCUACAAACAUUAAGUGCAGUAAAAUAGCAUAUAUAACGGUUAUGCAUAAAACCGGGGCUUGCCUUUAUUUUAACACUUAGAUAGUGUUUGCUGGGGAGGUACUCGCUUGGCGAGCAUCCACUGGUUAAGUCCAUCCUUCCUUGGGUCGUCCACCGACUGCAUCUUGUGGUUGACACCACAUCACUCGCACGGUCGUCACCUCUCGGUCCUAAUUGAGAUGCAGGAUGCAUAUGUAUGAAUACAAUGAAAAUAUCACAAGCUAUAUAAAUACAUGGUAGCAAACUAACAUUUAAUUGCAAGACACCGCAAUGACUAUACGCAAGCGCUAGCUAUUCGUAUGUUAUCGGCGUUCAUCAUUAACACCAUUAACAAGACGGCCACAUUUUAUUUAUUUACGCAACCUAAAUACGAUAUGACAAGUACACGUAUUUUCUACGCUCACCUUAAUCAUUCAUUUGUUCUCCUAUUGACCACACAAGAGCAACCAAGACAACGUAAGUUUAAAUCGGACCUAGGCAUCAAUGUCUAUGAAACUCCUAUAUCGCAAUCACUAGAGAAAGGAACAUAUAAAACAAGACACACAUAUCAUCUCUAGCUUAACCAUGGUAAGUCUACAUUACUUAAGAGCAAACCAAACAUUUUUAGCGACAUGGGUGAACUAAACAAUCAAAGCGCACUAGCAGAAUUUUUGGACAGCAAUACAGCAGUCACUUGUUUCAGUCAUAACUCACAACAUAUUUAACCAAAAAUAGUAAACUAGAACUUUCUAGAAAGCUUGAAAGUGCUUUACAACUUUGGUAUUGGCAUCACAGCAUGAUUAAACACUUAGCAAGGUCAAAAGGUGUUAACACAACAGUGCUGUCCAGAUUUGGACAGAUCAGACUUAUGACUUUAAAAAUUCAUAACUGAAGAUUCAGGCAUCCAAACAAGGUGAUCCUAGACUUUCUGGAAAGGUAAUAAAAUUGUCCACAUAUCACUUAUAAACAUCUUAAGGUGACUCAAUAGUUAACUAAGGAUAAAUACACUAGAAGGCUUUGCUGUCAGAAUUGGACAGAUUCAGUCUUCAGACUUCAAACAUCCAUAACUUAAUCUUCAGACCACCAAAAAUAGUGAUCCAAGACUAAAGCUUGGCAAUUGCACUACAUAACUUUUAUAAUCACCGAGAAGUGAUUCUGUGCUUAACGGAAUCAACAACGCAGUUUCAAAAUCUGUUUGACGGAGGACAGAACACAGCAAUCAGUUUGUAAAUUUCAUAACUCUUAAACCGUCAGGCCUUUAGUUAUGAAAUUUUAACACAAGCAAGAUCAGAAAAGCAUCUACAACUUUCUUAUAAUGACCAUGAACAGGUUGCAACAUUAAAUUGAGCAACAAUACAAUUUCUGAAUCUGUACAGAAUUUGGACAGAUUCAGUUACUGAAUUUGUAAAAAGCAUAACUCCUAAACUGUCAGACCUAUGACUGUCAAAUUUUAACACAAGUAAGAUAUUAAAGUUAUCUACAACUUUAUUGUGACCACCAAUAACUUAUUUGAACAUUAACUUAAGCAACCAUUGCAAUUUCUGAAAUCUGUUCAGAAAUUCGACAGAUUCAGGUGCUGAGCUUGUGAAAAGCACAACUCCUAAACGAUCAGGUUUAUGGCUGUCAAAUUUUUGUACAAGCAAGAUAAUCAGGUUAUCUACAACUUUUCUAUAGAACAUAUCUACAGAAAACACAAUUUAGUUCAUCAAACAUACAGCACACCGAAAACAGUACGUGCAGUCCAAAACAGCAGUCAAUAAAUUUCAGCUCCUAUAUAAUUCCAAGAAUCAGUCGUGUUCUAGAGACUUGAAUUAUUCUAACACUUCACCGUUGAUUAGAGUUAAAUUAGUCAAAUCAGGACCAUCAAGUUGACUCAUAAAUUUUAUCCAAGUCAUUUUGUGCGCUAGAUUUACCAUACUCAAUUAACCACGCGUUCUCCACGAUAAUCAACAUCGAAGCGCUUUUCACCCAAUAAUUUGCAUUUUAGCUUAGACCUCACAUGAGCACUAAUACUUUUCACUCGCAACCAUAACCAUACACAGUUAGACCACAACAAGCAAUUCAUCGCGGCUACAAAACUUAACCAAAGCCAUCUAACAAGUCGGCUAGCCAGAGUAACAAUCUAGGCCGUUACACAUCUUACACGUCGGCUUGCAUAUUAUAGCAAUCCGAGACAACACAUAUAUAACAACACUUAACGAAAUAGACUCCUACUUAAUAUGAGUUGGCUAACGCAGCAUGAAAAAAAAAUAGUAAUUCAUACACCAGUUCAUAUUUUUCUCAAUCAUAACACCACGAGACCAACAAAACUAGUUUCACCAUUUUAGACAUCUUAACUUAAAAUACAGCUAAAAGUAAUUCGAUUAGUUUUCUUAACUACUUUUCUUAUAUUAGGUCACUUAGCUCCCAAAUAAUCAACACACCAUAUUUCCUUUGACGGCAAUAGGUAAGCACGACUACUUGUUUCUAACAAUCUUGGGUAUCAACAAUUAAUUGCCUAUGGUAUUUAUCCGACUCGAAAACAUAGAGAAGGCGACGACUACUACGGCAUGUCGUCACCUCAUCUUAAUCGCAUAAUCAAUUUUAGCUUACUAAUCGAGUCUGCCGACUAACCGUUUAAACUAGUAAAACCUAUCCUUCGCAAUCAAACAACACAUCGCACAUUUCCUAUUGAAAUGUAAAAACAUCCGAGUUCUUUUCUACUUUCUUUUUCUUUCGCCACAAACUUCAAUCCAUACCAAUACAAUUUUUAAACACGCACCGCAUCGAUCAAUUUCUAUGAAUCGACGACCACAAUCUCUAACUCGAAAUCAUGAGCACGACCAUAUUACGACCUACCGCCAAAACAUUUCAACCACAUCUAUAUAAUUUAUUAAUCAAGUUAAUCGAGAGCGACAUGCAUCGGCUCACCAUAAACAAACCCAAAUCGGCGUUUGCAAGAACGACGGUGAUUCCGAUUUGUGCAUCGCUACGAACAUCGACGAGCGUCGAGCGACUUGCCUUCUCCACGCAAACACGGGUUUUCUCCUCCAUAAAAAAAACAAAGCAGCACACAUACAUAAUUAAUCAUAGAAAAUAAUGUCGAUGCGGAAUCGAACACGGAGCGUCGCGGUCUCACCGGGGUGAACGACGACGACGACGGGGCUGCGCAAAAACAGCAAACAACCGGCGAGUGUCGACGGCGUGCUGUUCACUGCGCUUUAUAAAACAGGGAACCGCAGGCGUGGAGGCGUCGGGGCCGCUGCGCCAACGGGGAAAACAGAGGGGCUGCGUUGACGGACAACGAGGCAGCGACAAUGUGGCUGCGCAAUACAUCGAGCGGGUGGAUGCAAGCGGCGAGGGAAGCACUGAUGCUGCUGCGAUGGAGAAGGAGGGGGUUGGUGCUGUCCUUGGGAAGGAGUCGCAGCAAGGAAAGGCUUGUGGCCAUGGAGGAAUGGAGUUCGCAGCUUGCUGCCGGAGGUGGAAAAAAAAGGCAUCGGUUGGGGAGAGGAGAUGAGGCUGCUGGUUUCCAUGGGAGGGGGAGCCGAGCAGCUAGGGAAAGGAGCUCGCAGCCAUGGGGAGAGGUGGAGCUGAGCUCCACGUUUGCUGCACGCCAUGGACAGCAGGACGUGCGGCUGCUCGCUGCUGGAAUUUCUGGGCGCCGGCAAGAGGUAGAAGAAAAGGGGCGCUGCGGCAGGGAGAAUGAGGGCGCCGCUGGGAAAAUGGCGCCAUGGAGGGAGCUGCUGCUUGGAGGAAUGGAGCUCGGCGGCCAUGGAGUUUCUGCCCCUGCGCACGCACAGGAAACAGAGAGAAGAGGCUGCUGCUCGGCCACACCAUUGAGCCGAGGAGGAAGGGCGCCAUGGGGGCUGCCUUGCUGCAGGAGCGUCGAGCGCCAUGGGAGAAGGAGAUGCAGAGGGGCGCUGGCUUCCUGCUGGCCGUGGAGCAGGGGACACGCCCAGGAGAAGGACAGGGAGCGCGCUCGGCUGAGGUUCUGCUUGCCUGCAGGGAGCGCACGGCUCUCUCCAUCCCUGUAGGGCGAGCGACAGCAGGGGAGAGAGGCCGACCGUCGAGGUUGCUGCCCCCGCGCACGCUGGAGCUUGCUCGAUGGAAGGGAGGAGACGCCAUGGACAGGGAAGCUCCUGCGCGUGGCUGCUGUGCGUGGGAGGAAGAAAGGUUGCUGGCGGCUGAAAAUUUUUGAGGGGUGGAGUGCAAAAUAGCCAAGUGCAAGGAAGAGGGCUCCUAUUUAUAGAGGGGCAUUAGGCUAGGGUUUCCUUAGUGGCUGGGCCGGGCUUGGCCCAAAACAUGAAAUCGGGUCGCGCUAAUUUAUUUUUCCGAAUAAAAAUGUUCCCGCGGAAUUCGUCUGUGUAAAAACAGAGCGAGCUGGAGUUCGACGGGACGAAAGAUUGAGCGAUUAAUUCGGCCGAGAGUUUGAUUUGAAUUCGUUCGGAAAUAAUUUCUCGCGCACUAUUUUAGAAAUAAAUGUUUCUCUCAGACUUCCGAUCGCUUCGGAUUUUUAGUCGGAGAAACCGAAUCGUGACAAUUUAAAAUUGCUGUCGAUACGGGGUUUUGAUUCGGUUCGGACAUGAGAUAUUUAGCUGAGUCGAGUAAGAAUUAAUUAGAGGACGACAUAUCGAGUAUUCCGUCUGAGAGUACGGAUCCAAAUAAAAUAGUCGGGCAUCAGUCGAGGCCGAGAAUUGGAUUUGGGCACAGCUCGACUAGCAACUGUCGAGCAUUUGAUUACAUGAGCUUUAGACGAGAUUUAUAAUUCGAGAAUGAUCUUCGAAUCUGCAUGAGUUCCGAGAAUUAAAAGUUUUAACAUGCCUCCAAAAUUGGUUGUUUCUCGCGAUCGAUUAACUCCGAAUUCGGUGAACUUCCAUGAGAAGCCUGAUAGACAUAGAUAGACACGAUCGAGAAAUAGAAAUUUUCACUGAGGCAUCCGAGAUUAGGAUAACUCCCCUGACAUAACGCGAAAUAGACACCUGAGGUGUCACAGCCUUCCCCCCUUAAAAGGAAUCUCGUCCCGAGAUUCGAAUGAGGAUCUUCAAGGUGGAGAAGCAUGUAACUCCCAGACUGAAGAUAGAUGCAAAUUCCUGAGAGGGUAUCUGAUAAGAUAUUGGAGACAGAUUUGGAUAGAAUAUCGCGGCAUGCUGAGACAAAAUGCAGCGAUCACUUGAGAGAACGUCCACAAAAGAUAGCAUAUCAGUAUAGUCUCGUAAUGGAUCACGACUAUUAACUGCGAUACCCGCGUGCCGAGCAGCUCAACCAUGUGUGCACCAUAGUAGGCUCUCGGUUUCGUCGCGGCACCAUCAGUCGUUAGUCAUGACACCAUUACCAAACGUAACCAACGAGAAUUCCACAUAGCAUAAAUAGAUGGAGCCAUGAGAGUAUGGCUCAGAAAAUGUGACUGAAGUUGAAGCAAAGAUUGUUGGCAAAAGAGCAUCAGAUGAGAACUUUUAUUUAACUCAGAGAACCAUUUUAUGAUCAUCACGGGGAUUAUCGGCCAAAGAUUGAUACGAUAUUUAAUAUGAGGAGAGCUGACCAUGAGAUCAAGAUCAAUUGAGUUUUUAGAGACUGAGAGAACUAAAGACAACAUCAAAUUCAUUGACAAAUGGAUACAUCGUUUAGAGAUUAAAUUGAUCACAACAUCAUGACCUCGGAGGAGGGGUAUGAAGACUGACCAGAAAUGAGAGAUUUAGGCAAAUCAACAUCCGAUAACUUGAGAACGGGUAUAGCGAUAACCGAUAACGGGGCAGAAUCAAUAGGGAUUUGGUUGGUAAGGCAAAUUAUUUACAAGAAAAAGGAUUACCAAAUCAGGCAAAAGAGAGGUAGGCAAACAGGAUCAGCUGGAUGAUCACAGGAAUGUUAUGAAGUUUUAGGGGCAAGGGUUUAUGGAAAGAAACAUGGCCUUGAUAGGGUUUGCGCAACUAGACACCAAACAACAUUUGUUUGACACAAGUGCACAAGGAGAACUUGGUUGGUCUAGCGGUCAAGCUGUGGGUGUCUAUAAGUGUGCAGGUACAAUUUCAAGUGUAGAACACACAAGGCAAGAGAAUACCAACACAAGCAUGAUUUUUUUUUGGAGUUUCACUUGCUAAACUCAAGGUUGUUUGGAGGGGGAAAUCUUUUCAUGAGCAGAACAGACAACAUUUUUUUGUAAAAAGGGUUGAACAUUCAGAUACCACUAGAUAGCAAGGCAAGAGAAACACAUAACACAACCUAACAAGACUUACCAAUCUGCACGAGGUAAGACAUUUCUAACAUAGCACACAUCACUUAUUCCCAAUUUCUUAUUAUGAAAUAAAGGUGAGAGAGCAUGUUGGUGCACAAGAGACAAUUAUGCGACAAUCAUGAUGCAUGCUCAUUCUGUCGUCUUCUCGACCUAAUACUUUUUGGGUGCUUUCUAUAGCAUCCUAUUAAUAUAGUAGUAGCCUUUAUGGCCUAUAUAAAUAGCCACCUAGCUACCCAUUAUUCCUAAGGCUUCACGUCCUAGGUCUAUCCUUAUCGUCCGUCCUGAUAUCUNNNNNNNNNNNNNNNNNNNNNNNNNNNNNNNNNNNNNNNNNNNNNNNNNNNNNNNNNNNNNNNNNNNNNNNNNNNNNNNNNNNNNNNNNNNNNNNNNNNNGCAGAGUAAGUACUGUGCCGGACCCCAUUGAAGGCCCUACGGCGAAGCCAACUACUCUCUGGUUCCUCUAAUUAAUCAGCUAAGGGCGUCCAUUCCACCCUCAUGGUUGCACUGUUAUCCGGGUUGUCACUCCCAAACAGGUCCUUACGGAGAGGUACUCAGGAAAGAGCCUAAGCCCCCUAAAGUAAUCACAAGGACCUCAUCGGGAUAACAUCAUCGUAUCAUAAAAGAUCACAUCAUGUUCAUUGAUUAAGUUUAAGCAGUAGCAUAAGCUAACCAUGAUUAACCCAAAAAGGUGAACAAGGGUAAGGAAAUACAAACUAGUCAAUCCUUAAGUCUCAGUAAUGUAAUGUGGGACAGUGAAUUAUAAAGUAUAGUAGGACAUAGUAGGUCUGAGGACACUUGCCUUCACCAUGAUGUUGCUCAGAGGGAUCUUCGGCAACACACUCGGAACCACGAGCUGCUCGUUGUCUAAGUAAAGCGAGCAUACAUUCAAUACAUUUGGAAAAGUAUAAAUGAACAUCACAUCAAACAUUUACAAUCAUUACUCACAAAAAGGUAUAGUAUUAAGUGUAGGGGGAUGAUAUCAAGCUACAAAGAAAAUGGAGUAAUCCUAAUCGGGGAAUUGAUUACUCUCUAAAUGUUUGGGACAUAACUCAAAAAGGUUAAGUAGUGAUUAAAAAAUGAAAGCUAGAAUUAUAAGAUAAACUACUCUCAUUUAGAAAUUUGAUUAUCCUUUAAGUAUUAUCCAUAAUUACAUUCCUAAUUCUAUUUAUGUCAUUAAGGCCUAGAGGUUAAGCCAAAAUAAAUCCAAGUAAUGCAUAACACUAAUCUCACAAGAUUGAAUAUACUUUAUUCCUAGGGUUCUCCUUUUAUUUAUUUCAUUAAAUAAAUAAAUCAACAUAUACUUUAAUUCUAAGUCUAAGUGUAAAAAUUAAAGUGUACAAAUUACAGUUGGUCAUAUUUUAUUUGAAUAGAGAACAAUUUGGUGAACAUUUUGCAAUUUGAACCACUAAAUUUGGAGUUCAUAUGCAAAAGUUAUGAAAUAAACAAGUUGGGGAAUUCAAAAUAUGAAAUUAGAGCUAAUUCUGUGAUUAUUUAAAAGUCCAGAAAUAAAUCUGCAAGAUUAACAGGGACCUGCGCGCGAAAACCAAGGACGGCGGGUUGAUUUCCUAAAACUAGGGGGUUUCUUAAGCAAAACAACACGCGGAGGGAUAUCGGUGAAUCCAACCGUCAGAUCCAAAACCAACGGCUGAGAUUAGAUCUGCGGUCAAGGACGCGCGCGGGGGCGGGCGAGCGCUGACAGGCAGGAUAGGGAGUGUUAGCGACAGAGGGGGAGAGUGUGCUGACCGAGUGGGUCCAGUGCCGAGGGGAAACAGACGGCUACAAGGGUCCGAGGGGGUCCGAGCCGUUCGAUCAAGAUCGGACGGGGAGGGGUCCAAGGGGGUCUGAAGGGGUCCGAGCCAUUCCAUCAAGAUCGAACGGGGAAAUCAGACCGGGAAGGAUAAGCGGCUGCGGGUGACGCUGACAGGUGGGUCAGGGCGUCAGGUGCGCGUGCGCGAAGCGGUAUCCCGUGGUCUGGGCCGUGCGAUCAAGAUCGGACGGAGGGAAAUCAGACCGAGGAACAGACAGCUGCGGGCGGCGCCGCUCCUCUCCGCGGCGGUGAGGUCGCCGGAGUUGAGGCAGGCGCGAGCUAGGGUGGCUCCGGGGUCGCCGGAGUUGGACAGAGAGAAAGGGCGCCACGGCUGAAAGUCGCCUAGAGGGUGGGUGAAUAGGGCGAAUCUGAAUUUUAUAAACUUAAGCACAACUACAAGUCGGGUUAGCGUUAGAAAUAAGAACGAGUCCGCGAGAGAGGGCGAAAACAAAUCAUAAGCAAAUAAGAGUGAGACACAAGGGUUUGUUUUACCGAGGUUGGUUCUUGCAAACCUACUCCCCGUUGAGGUGGUCACAAGACCGGGUCUCUUUCAACCCUUUCCCUCUCUCAAACAGUCACUUAGACCGAGUGAGCUUCUCUUCUCAAUCAACCGGAACACAAGUUCCCGCAAGGACCACCACACAAUUGGUGUCUCUUGCCUUGAUUACAAAUGAGUUUGAUCACAAGAAAGAAUGAGAAGAAAAUAAGCAAUCCAAGGCAAGAGCUCAAAUGAAACAAAUGUCGUCUCUCUAGUCACUAUUUGAUUUGGAGUGAUUCUGGAAUUGGGAGAGGAUUUGAUCUCUUUGUUGUGUCUAGAAUUAAUGCUAUAGCUCUUGUAAUGUGUAGAAGGUGGAAACUUGGAUGCCAUUGAGUGUGGGGUGGUUGGGGUAUUUAUAGCCCCAACCACCAAAAUGUGGCCAUUGGAAGGCUGCUGGUCGUUGGGUUCUGACCGUUGGAGCUCUGACAGGUGGGGCCUCUGGGCUGUCCGAUGGUGCACCGGACAGGUCCUGUAGACUGUCUGGUGCGCCAACUGCGUGUGCUCUGUCCUCUGCGCGCGCAUUAAUGUGUUGCCAGUCACCGUUGCGUGCGAAGUAGCCGUUGCUCUCGCUGGCACACCGGACAGUCCGGUGAAUUAUAGCGGAGCGGCCUCCAUUUCCGAAGGUAGCAAGUUCAGCGUCGAGUGCCCUGGUGCACCGGCACUGUUCGGUGGUGCACCGGACACUGUCCGGUGGCACACCGGACAGUCCGGUGCGCCAGACCAGGGUGCCUUUGGGUUGUCUUUUGCUCUCUUUGUUUGAACCCUUUCUUGGUCUUUUUAUUGGCUUAUUGUGAACCUUUGGCACCUGUAAAACUUAUAGACUAGAGCAAACUAGUUAGUCCAAUUAUUUGUGUUGAGGCAAUUCAACCACCAAAAUUAAUUAGGAAAAGGUGUAAGCCUAAUUCCCUUUCAAUCUCCCCCUUUUUGGUGAUUGAUGCCAACACAAACCAAGAAAUAAAGAUGCAUAAUGAACUAGUUCAUAAUGUAAGUGCAAAGGUUACUAAGAAUUGAACCAAUAAAUUUUCAUAAGAUAUGCAUGGAUUGUUCUUAUUUUACAUUUUGGACCACCUUGCACCACAGUUUGUUUUUGCAAAUUCUUUUGUAAAUUCUUUUCAAAGUUCUUUUCAAAUAGUCAAAGGUAAAUGAUAAGAUUUUAGAAGCAUUUUCAAGAUUUGAAAUUUCUCCCCUGUUUCAAAUGCUUUUCCUUUGACUAAACAAAACUCCCCCUUAAUAAAAUCCUCCUCUUAGUGUUCAAGAGGGUUUUAGAUAUUAUUUUGAAGAGGGUGUCCAAUUUCAAAUUUUAUCAAAAAUAAGAUACCAAUUGAAAAAUUCAUCAUUAAAAGUCUUUUCUUAACUCAAUUUUUGAAAAUUGGUGGUGGUGCGGUCCUUUUGCUUUGGGCUAAUACUUUCUCCCCCUUUGGCAUGAAUCGCCAAAAACGGAUACUUUGAGUGAAAUAUAAGCCUGUGAUUAACUACUUUCUCCCCUUUGGGAAAUAAUAUGAGUGAAAUUAUACCAAAGUUGGAGAGUGCUCGGAGCGACGGCAAGGAUGAGUAACUUGAUGGAGUGGAGUGGAAGCCUUUGUCUUGCCGAAGACUCUAUUCCUUUCAAUCCUAUGACUUGGUUUGAAAUACACUUGAAACACAUUAGUCAUAGCAAUGAAAGAAGAUGAUCAAAGGUAUAUUAAUGAGCUAUGUUGCAACAUCAAAAGAAUUCUAGAAUCAAGAAUAUUUAGCUCAUGCCUAAGUUUGUAAAUUGUUCAUCUAGUGGCUUGGGUAAAGAUAUCGGCUAAUUGUUCUUUGGGUAAUAUAUGCAAUCUCGAAUCCCUUUUUGGUGAUCCCUAAAAAUGAUACCGAAUGGCUAUGUGUUUAGUGCGGCUAUGCUCAACGGGAUAUCCGCAUGCGGAUUGCACUCUCAUAUCAAUAGAAGAGGAACUUUGGUUAAUUUGUAACCAUAGUCCCUAAGGGUUUGCCUCAUCCAAAGCAAUUGCGCGCAACAAUGCCUGCGACAAUAUACUCGGCUUCGGCGGUAGAAAGAGCUACGGAAUUUUGCUUCUUUGAAGCCCAAGACACCAGAGAUCUUCCCAAGAACUGGCAAGUCCCGAUGUGCUCUUUAUAUUAAUUUUACACCCGCCCAAUCGGCAUCCGAAUAACCAAUUAAAUCAAAUGUGGAUCCCCGAGGGUACCAAAGCCAAACUUAGGAGUAUAAACUAAAUAUCUCAAGAUUCGUUUACGCCUAAGGUGAGCUUCCUUAGGGUCAGCUUGGAAUCUUGCACACACUGCAUACGGAAAGCAUAAUAUCCGUCGGUCGAGAUGCACAUAAAUAGAGUAAAGAACCUAUCGACCGUAUACCUUUUGAUCACGGAUUUACCUCCGUCGAGGUCGAGUGCCCAUUGUUCCAUGGUGUCUUGAUGGUUGGAUCCUUCAUCCCAAACUUGUGAGAUGUCUUGAAUAUACUUCGUUUGGCUAAUGAAGGUGCCUCUUGGAGUUGCUUCACUUGAAAUCCAAGAAGUACUUCAACCCCCAUCAUGACAUCUCGAAUUUUGUGUAUGAUCCUACUAAAUUCUUCACAUGUAGAUUCGUUAUAACCCAAAUAUAUAUCAUCAACAUAAAUUUGGCAUACAAACAAAUCUUUCAAAGUUUAGUAAUAAAGUAGGAUCGGCUUUCUGACUUUGAAGCCAUUAUGAUAAGAAAAUCUCUUAGGCAUUCAUACCAUGUCUUGGGGCUUGCUUGAGCCAUAAAGCGCCUUAGAGAGUUUAUAUACGUGAUUAGGUACUCACUAUCUUCAAAGCCGGGAGGUUGCUCAACAUAGACCUCUUCCUUGAUUGGUCCAUUGAGGAAGGCACUUUCACGUCCAUUUGAUAAAGCUUGAAGCCAUGGUAAGUAGCAUAGGCAAUAAUAUGCGAAUUGACUCAAGCCUAGCUACGGGUGCAUAGGUUUCACCGAAAUCCAAACCUUCGACUUGUAUCCCUUGCCACAGUCGGCUUUGUUCCUUGUCACCACACCAUGCUCUUUGCUUGUUGCGGAAGACCCAUUGGUUCCUACAACAUUUUGUUAGGACGUGGAACUAAAUGCCAUACCUCUUCCUAGUGAAGUUGUUGAGCUCCUCUUGCAUCGCCACACCCAAUCCGAAUCUUGAGUGCUUCUCUACCUUGUGGCUCAAUAGAGGAAACAAAGAGUAAUGUUCAAAAAAUGGCAACACGAGAUCUAGUGUUACCCCUUAUGAAUCGCCGAGGAUGGUGUCACGGGGUGAUCUCGUUGGAUUGCUUGGUGACUCUUGGUGUGGCGGUCUUGGACUUUCAUCUUCCUCUCUUGAUCAUGGCAUCUCCCCCUUGAUCAUUGCCUCCUCUUGAGUGGCUCAUUCUUGAUCUCAUCUUCAUCACUGAGCCUAUCCUCAUUGAGUUGGUGGAGAUGCUUGCAUGGAGGAAGAUGGUUAUCUUGGCUGUGAGGCUUCGAUUCCUUAGGACACACAUCCCCAAGGACAUGUUCCUUAGCACGACACGAAGCCUCUUCAUCAUCUAGCUCAUCAAGAUCAACUUGCUCUACUUGAGAGCCUUAGUCUCAUCAAACACAAUGUCACAAGAAACUUCAACUAGUCCAGUGGACUUGUUAAAGACUCUAUAUUGCCCUUGUGUUUGAAUCAUAACCAAGUAAAAAGCCUUCUAUAGCCUUAGGAGCAAAUUUAGAUUUUCUACCUCUUUAACAAGCAAUAAAGCAUUUGCUACCAAAGACUCUAAAUAUGAAACAUUGGGCUUUUUACCGGUGAGGAGUUCGUAUGAUGUCUUCUUGAGAUUCGUGUAGAUAUAACCGGUUGAUGGCGUAGCCGCGUGUUGACGCCUCGGCCCAAAACCGAUUCGAAGUCUGUACUCAUCAGCAUGGUCCUUGCCAUGUCCAAUAGAGUUCUAUUCUUCCUCUCCACUACACCAUUGUUGUGGCAUGUAGGAGAAGAGAACUCAUGCUUGAUGCCCUCCUCCUCAAGGAACCUUAUUGAGAGUCUUGAACUCCGUCCCGUAUGCUUCUAAUCUCUUGAUCCUUAAGCCGAACUCAUUUGACCGUCUCAAGAAUCCUUUAGGUCUCUUGGGUGAGAUUUUUCCUGCAAAAAGAACACCCAAGUGAAGCGAGAAUAAUCAUAUCAAUACAAGACAGUACUUACUCCCGCCGAUGCUUAUGUAACUAUCGGCCGAAUAGGUCCAUGUGAGUAGCUCAAGCGGCCUAUCGGUCGUCAUGAUGUUCUUGUGUGGAUGAUGAACACCAACUUGCUUUCCUGCUUACAUGCGCUACAAAUCCUGUCUUUCUCAGAAUGAACAUUGGUUAGUCCCAAAAUGUGCUCUCCCUUUAGAAGCUUAUGAAGAUUCUUCAUCCAACAUGGGCUAGUCGGCGGUGCCAGAGCCAACCCAUGUUAGUCUUAGCAAUUAAGCAAGUGUCGAGUUCAGCUCUAUCAAAAUCUACUAAGUAUACCUGACCCUCUAACACUCCCUAAAUGCUACUGAAUCAUCACUUCUUCUAAAGACAGUAACACCUAAAUCUGUAAAAAGACAGUUGUAGACCAUUUGCAUAAUUGAGAAACAGAAAGCAAAUUGCAAUCUAAAGAAUCUAUAAAAAAACAUUGGAAAUAGAAUGGUCAGGAGAUAUAGAAAUUUACCCAAUCCUUUGACCAAAUCUUGAUUUCCAUCCCCGAAUGUGAUAGCUCUUUGGAUAUCUUGGUUUUUCUCAUAGGAGGAGAACAUCUUCUUCUCCCCUGUCAUGUGGUUUGUGCCCCGCUAUCGAUGAUCCAACUUGAGCCCCCGGAUGCAUAAACCUACAAAACAAGUUUAGCCUUGUCUUAGGUACCAAACGGUUUGGGUCUUUGACAUUAGAACAAGCACCUUGGGUACCCAACACAAGUCUUUGACCCUUGUGUUGCCCCAACAUAUUGGCAACUAUUUGCCUGAUUUGUUAGUAAGCACAUAGGAUGCAUCAAAAGUCUUAAUGAAAUGUUAUGUUCAUUUGAUGCAAUAGGAGUUUUCUUCUUAGGCAAUUUAGCACGGGUUGAUUGCCUAGACUAGAUGCCUCACUCUUAUAAUAAAAGCAUGAUAGAGCCAGAGUGAGACUACCUAUAAUGAAUUCUCCUAAUUUUAUGCUCGGGAUAGCCGACAGGGUAUAAAAUGUAACCCUCGUUAACCUGAGCAUGGGAGCCUUGCCCUUAACAAGUAAAUAAUCUUUUAGGAGGGCAUUAACUUGACAUUGUCUCCCUUUCGGAAGCCAAUGCCAUCCUAAUGCCGGGCGUCUCCCACUAUAGAGCAUGCUUCUAGCAAAUUUAAAUUUUCAUUUUCUAAGUUAGCUCAUUAAUCUUAGCACUAAGUUGAGCUAUGUGAUCAUUGUUUCUUAAUUAAAGCUAAGUGAUCAUGAAUAGCAUCAACAUUAAUAUCUCUACAUCUAGUGCAAAUGGAAACAUGCUCAACGGUAGAUGUAGAGGGUUUGCAAGUAUUCAUUCAACAAUCUUAGCAUGUAAAAUUGCAUUUUCUUCUCUAAAUUGGAAAUGGAAACAUUGCAACCAUUUAAAUCUUUAGCUUUAGCAAUUAAUUUUUCAUUCUCAAUUUAAGGUAGAGAGUGAUGCAUUAACUGUCAAUGUUGUAAUUAAACUAGCAUUAUCAUUUCUAAGACUAACAAGAGAAUCAUGAGAAACAUUUGAGUUCUCAACCUUAGCAAUUAAUCUAGUAUUCUCAUUCUAAGGUUGGAAAUAACAUCAUGGCAAUACUUAGCUCACUAGAUAAUUUUUCACAUUUUCUACCUCUAGAGCAUAAGCAUUUUAACCUUAACAUGCUUUUUGUUUUCUUAAUAGAAGUCCUCUUGGUGUCCAAGAGUUCAUCCUUCUUAUGAAUAACACUAAUUAACUCAUAUAAUUUCUCCUUUGUGCAUUUAAGAUUGGGCAAAAAGAGUAAGCAUGUUUUCCUCAUCAUCACUAGAAUUAUCCUCAUCACUAGAAGUUGCAUACUUAGUGGAGGAUCUUGAUUUUACCUUCUUCUUCUUGCCGUCCUUUGCCAUGAGGCACUUGUGGCCGACGUUGGGAAGAGAAGGCCUGGGUGACGGUGAUGUUUGCGGCGUCCUCGUCGAGGAGUCGGUGGAGCUCUCGUCGGAGUCCCACUCCCGGCAAACAUGGGCAUCGCCGCCCUUCUUCUUGUAGUAUCUCUUCUUUCUCUCUCUUUCCCUUCUUGCCGUCGCCCCUGUCACUAUCACUAGAUAAUGGACAUUUAGCAAUGAAAUGACCGGGCUUACCACACUUGUAGCACACCUUCUUGGAACGGGGCUUGUAAUCUCUCCCCUUCUUGCUUGAGGAUUGGCGAAAGCUCUUGAUGAUGAGCGCCAUUUCCUCGUUGUCGAGCUUGGAGGCGUCGAUGGGAAGUCUACUUGAUGUAGACUCUUCCUUCUUCUCCUCUGUCGCUAAUUUGAAGGCGACGGUUGCACCUCGGGUGUUGAGGUGGUGCCUUGCUCGAUGAUCUUCUUGGAGCCUUUGAUCAUCAAUUCAAAGCUCACAAAUUUUUCUAUAACUUCCUCGGGAGACAUUAGUUUAUACCUUGGAUCACCACGAAUUAAU